AUCCAUCAUCUAAGAUGGCCGCCAGCGGGGGGACUUGGUUUAACAUAGGACCCUACAGGAAAUGCAUACUAAAGUCUUCUUCUAGAGAACCAUUAAAUUGAAUGAAACCAAACAUAGAAUGAAUGUUCCUUUCAUUAGGAGGUGCUGGCCAAGUGUUGUUACUUUGUAGCCAAAUUUUAUCUUUGUUAAUAUGAUUUCAAAAACCCAAGUAGAGU
rnacentral:lncRNA from 1 species